AAAGUGCCAAAAAAAUAAAUUUCUUAAAAAAACAUUAGCCCUAAAAUUUUUUAAGGUGCAGUAUAUUUUGUGCCAUAAAACAUCAGAUUUUUAAAUGAUCAUCUUGUCUAGUGCCUUUUUUAAUUACUGUGCAACAUUUUUAAGCAUUUUUUAAUCAUAGGUAAUGGUGAUGGUGUGCCUGUGAAGCAUGAGUGUUAUGGAGGCCUCUAUUUCAACGAUGAGAAACAUACCUGUGACUUCCCGGAGAACGUGUCUUGUGGGCAGCGUAAAGCCAGUCGCCUUGCACCCCUACCUCACGACUAAGGACUAACUAGAGGAUGCCAGUGCCAGGGACAAGGAUGAGAGUUCCUUGUAACAUUGACUUCUCUGCUGGCUAAUGUAUCAUCAUGGAGUGCUCCCACAGCAAGACUAAAUAACAGACACAUGUAUCCUCACCUGGCUUGUAACCUGAGCAAACUCUUAGCAUAACCAGGAGGAGAAAUAGAAAAUCAGUAGAACUUAAAAUUGAUUAUCAGCCAUCAGUAUCAUAGAGACUAGGUCUAUAGGCCUAAUAUAUAAGUAUAAACAGCCUAAUACCAAUGCUGAAUGAUGCAGUAAAUUAUCUUUUAAUUUAUUAUGAUAGCAUGUCAACAUAUAUUAAGCAAUAAAGUGGUAGAAUUACCGACAAUAUGUAAAGCAAAAGGACACAAGUGCAACUAAUGUGACAUUUUAUUGUGGCAACGUUUCGCUCUCCAGGAACUUUAUCAAGCUUGACAAAGUUCCUGGAGAGCAAAACGUUGCCACAAUAAAAUGUCACAUUAGUUGCACUUGUGUCCUUUUACUUUACAUAUAUUAAGCAGAUGCUCCUCCUGUUGCCCCAGAUGCUACAGUUCUGUUCAUGACACAAUGCCGACCAACACUGUUAUUACAGCAUACGCAAUGUUUUGUUAAAAUUAUUUAUAGCAUUUAAAAAACUUAUACCAAAAAAAAAAGUAGGAAAAUGUACUAAAGUACAUUACAUAAUUUAUCAAAAACAAUUUAUACCAAUAAAUUACAAUGCUGUUUCAAUCUAAAAAGUGUAUAUAAGUAAUUUAAUAAAUUUUAUGAUGCAGA